rnacentral:rRNA from 1 species
ACGAACGCUGGCGGCGUGCUUAAUACAUGCAAGUCAACUGAACUUAAGGUAGUAAUACUUUAAGGGAGGUGGCGCACGGGUGAGUAACACGUAGGUAAUCUGCCUUUAGGUCUGACAUAACCCCGAGAAAUCGGGGCGUAAUUUCUAGAUGAUGCAGCGGCUCGACAUCGAGACAGUUGUUAAAUUCUUCGGAGCCUAAAGAUGAGCCUGCGUCUGAUUAGGUAGUUGGCGGAGUAAAAGCCCACCAAGCCUUCGAUCAGUAGCUGGUCUGAGAGGAUGAUCAGCCACACUGGAACUGAGACACGGUCCAGACUCCUAC